UUGCUAUGAAUUUUCUUGAGUUUAAAUAUUCAUUUACAACGAUUUCUCUUGAUGGACUUAUCACGAAUCCAUCACUGACUCGUGAUUUCACCUUCAAAUCAAAUGAAGCAGGCAAAAAACAAGUAACAACAGAUCAGCUCUUACGUUAAACCCACCAUAACAAUAAAAAAAGGAAGAAGUUCCCCUCCCUCAAAAGUCGUGAUCAAGCCAUCCAACAAAACCAGACUACCAUAAAAAUUAGUGCGAAUUGCAUUCCGA
rnacentral:lncRNA from 1 species